UACGGGGGGGGGCAAGCGUUGUUCGGAAUUACUGGGCGUAAAGGGCUCGUAGGCGGCCAACUAAGUCCGACGUGAAAUCCCCAGGCUUAACCUGGGAACUGCGUCGGAUACUGGAUGGCUUGAAUUCGGGAGAGGGAUGCAGAAUUCCAGGUGUAGCGGUGAAAUGCGUAGAUAUCUGGAGGAAUACCGGUGGCGAAGGCGGCAUCCUGGACCGACAUUGACGCUGAGGAGCGAAAGCUAGGGGAGCAAACGGG
rnacentral:rRNA from 1 species